rnacentral:rRNA from 1 species
AUAGAUACCCCGGUAGUCCACGCCGUAAACGAUGAGUGCUAAGUGUUAGAGGGUUUCCGCCCUUUAGUGCUGCAGCAAACGCAUUAAGCACUCCGCCUGGGGAGUACGGUCGCAAGACUGAAACUCAAAGGAAUUGACGGGGGCCCGCACAAGCGGUGGAGCAUGUGGUUUAAUUCGAAGCAACGCGAAGAACCUUACCAGGUCUUGACAUCCUCUGACAACCCUAGAGAUAGGGCUUCCCCUUCGGGGGCAGAGUGACAGGUGGUGCAUGGUUGUCGUCAGCUCGUGUCGUGAGAUGUUGGGUUAAGUCCCGCAACGAGCGCAACCCUUGAUCUUAGUUGCCAGCAUUCAGUUGGGCACUCUAAGGUGACUGCCGGUGACAAACCGGAGGAAGGUGGGGAUGACGUCAAAUCAUCAUGCCCCUUAUGACCUGGGCUACACACGUGCUACAAUGGGCAGAACAAAGGGCAGCGAAGCCGCGAGGCUAAGCCAAUCCCACAAAUCUGUUCUCAGUUCGGAUCGC